GGGGGGGGGGGGGAUGUGCCUGUGCUGCGGGAUGGAAAUCCUGUGAAAUUAGAUUGUUAUGAUCAUUAUACAACUACAGAUGUGAUCAAUUUAUUUGAGUAAUAAAAAAAAAGUCUAGAACACGUCCAAGAAAAAAAAAAGGUUUGUGACGUCACUGGAAUAUGAUGAAAAAUGUAAAAUAACUUCUUUCAUGUUCUUCAUAGGAACGUGUACAUAGGUUUGCACAAGUAUGUGUUUCUUUGAACUAAGAAUAAUAAUUUUACAAAUCUUAAAAAAAAAAAACAGCAAACCACAAGUUCCCUCAUCAAAACCCUCUGAGGUAAAAGGUGAAAACGCACCUUGUGAUCAUUUCUUGCUAAGUUUCCAAAGGGAACGAAGACACGAGUGCUCAGCUCCAUCCUCUGGGUCUGUGCCCUCAUUCUGUCCACCUGGAGGAAGCGCCACUCACCUGGAGGAAGGUGACACAUCCUUUGUAAUUUGCACAAAGGGGCUCUAUGGGCUGGCCGGGGCCCUGGACUGGUCCAUCUUUUAUCAGACAUUGAAGUUCACCCUUUGAUUUGAUGCCUGCUAAUGAGUGACAGGAUGAGAACCUAGAUCUGUCUUUCUUUUCUUCCCGAAAGCUGCCUGGAGGACUCAGGCUCACUGCUCUUCCCCAAAGCUAUCAGGCUCCCUGUGUUAAGUGACUUUCUGCAGGACUCCCUGGGGGCUCCUUGCUGGCUGGGGGAAGAACGCAGCUCCGUUUCUAUUUUCCAGACAGUCUCAUCUCUUUGAUACAGGACAGCUGUUUCAGAGUCUGAACAGAUGGAUGCCUGCACUGAGGAUCCCUCGGGUUUUAGGGGCUAGGUAUGGGACCAGAGUGCUGGACGGAGGGUCCUGGGCUAUGGACAUGGGUGCAGGAUGCCAAGGAGCAUGUGGCAAAGAAUAAGAGGGAGCUCCUCCUCCUGGCGCUUGUGUUUACAUCUCUACCCACCCCUUUUAACACCAAACCUCCUAUUUCUUUGUUUUUCAAAAUUCAAUGUAUUUUUCAAAUGUUGGUAGCUAGUUCCUGGGCAAAGGUGCCUGAGUACCGUGUUACUGUUAAGGUGCCUGAGGAUGCUGACAGAGUGUGCUGUAACUGACAUGGCUCUGAGCGAAUACGGCUCCCUCUGGCACUGCACACACACCUGAUAACAUGGUCUUCUGGUUCCAAAUACUGGAUUAUAAAUUGUUUACAUAUCCCCAGCAUAAAAUAAGGCAGGUAAACAAAUAAAGGGGCAGUCAAUGAAAAUAAAUACGGCAACCUCACAGUUUACUGACUAGAGACACAUUAUCCCAGCGAGCCGAAUAUUGGAUGAGAGAGCUGGCUUCUGGAGUUCCCGUUGUGGCUCAGCAGAAACAAAUCUGACGAGUAUUGAUGAGGAUGUAGGUUCAAUCCCUGGCCUCGCUCAGUGGGUUAAGGAUCUGGCAUUGCUGUGAGCUGUGGUGAAGGUGGUAGAUAUGGCUCAGAUCCUGCGUUGCUGUGGCUGUGGCACAGGCUGGCAGCUAUAGUUCCCCUAGCCUGGGAACUUUCAUGUGCCAUAGGUGCUACCCUAAAAAGACAGAAAGAGAGAGAGAGAGUGCUGUCUUCUAAUUGCAUGUACAACCUGACAGCUAACCCUAAGAUCAGGGCAGACAUUCGCAGGGACAGGCCUUCAUGGCGCACUGGACUGGACAGUCUCUCUCUACUCUUUGGCUAAUAAAUAUCUUCCCAGGACACUUUAGUGCUGACCUGAGGGGGCAAGAUUCCAAGGCCCUUUCCUACUCUAGCUACUUCCAAUUGGAAAGUAUAAUGUAAAAUAGAUUUUAUUUAUUUUUAGGGCUGCACCUGCAGCAUAUGCAAGUUCCCAGGCUAGGAGGUCGAAUCGGAGCUGCAUCUGGAACUUACACCACGUCUUACAGCAACACCAGAUCUGAGCCACGUCUGUGACCUGUACCACAGCUCACAGCAACGCUGGAUCCUUGACCCAUGGAGCGAGGCCAAGGAUGGAACCCACAUCCUCAUGGAUACUAAUCAGGUUCAUAACCUGCUGAGCCACAAGGGGAACUCCCAACUUCUAAUUCUGGGAAAAAGGAUCACACACAGCGCUGCACCUGAGACGCCUUUAUGAGUUGUCCAGGGGCGUCCUCGUAUUAAAUCCUUUGCCUGGUUGGCGCCUAAUACAGUGUCUCCUCUGUGACCUUGAGUGAGGGUCACAUUCUUCUUUAUUGUCUGGGAGAGGGAGCUCUGGUCCUUAGGGGGGACUUCCUCAGUGCCUAAGGCAUCCUAGGAGAAGAAUAAGGUAAUGAAGAAGGGCACAGAAGCUCGCAAGGGCCUGGAUAAGGGGAAGGGGCGGGCGAAGAGAUGGGUGAAAAAACUCUCCUGCUGAAGAUAGCAUUUACAAGAGAGAGCAGAGAGAGAGAGAGAGGACGCACGAUAUCGAUAUCGGGAGAAAGAGGUUCUGAAAGGCCCAUUUUGGGGAAGCCCGCGCUACUCCUUACCAAGUCUAAUGCACUUCUGUUAACAAAAACAACAACACAAAAAUAUCCUGUCACUCCCCCGCCCCAAGAAUAAUACCACUCAUUUAGGAUAGGUCUGUAAAGUAUUUCAACCCAAUGGGGUACUGUUUUAUCAACCAAAAGAACUCAUUUACCAAAUGGGUCCCCAGGCCCUAGAAGAACGAAUGCACUGGCCACUGGGGAGCAGCUCCCCCACCUGCUUCUCCAUCAGUUCCGUGCCUUUGCAGAGAACGAAGGGCAUGCAGCUGGAAGGGCCACAGAGGGUCCCUCCAUCCAUGGGCAUGCAUGAGGAUGAGUCUGUGUUCGUGGAUCCUGCAGAAAUAGGAAAGAAAGAAAAGGUGGAGACUUUAGGAUCAUACACACCUGGAUUUGAAUCUGGUUCUGCUCCUUUUUAGCUGAGUGAGUGUGAGCAAACCUUCUGACCUUGAGUUUUUUUCUGGAUGUGCUGAUGACGGAUCAUAAUGCCUGCCUUCCGCGCUGGGAUGAUUCAGCCUGAGGGAGUGGAAGUAGAUGGAGGAGCACAGUGGCGGGCCACAGCCGGUGUCCAAAGAGUGGGAGUUGCCCUCGCAACCAUCACUGUCUCCAUCGCCAUCAUCAUCUCCGCCAUCUGUUGUCUGUAUCCUGGACAGCAUCCGCGGAGUUCCUUCCAGGCAUCAAGGCCCCCCCCCCGCCCCAGUGCUUCACAUGUGUUGUCUGCUUAAAUUCCUCAACAAGUCUAUGAAGUAGGUAGACUUUCCUAUAGUAUCCCAAUCUUAUCCCAUUCUACUAAUGAGGAAGUUGAGGCUCAGAGAAGUGAAAUCAUCCAGUGUCACAGAAUUCGUGAAUGGUAAGGCUGGUACUUAAACCCUGGUUUAAUUCACUCCAGAGCCUGUGGAGUUGAAGCUACUCCUCCAGACCCCAGGGACGGGUGAAGGCUUUGAUGAUAUCAGCUAGCAUAGUCUGGCCAUCAGGCUGUAGAGAGGGUACUUUGCUGUGUGAAGGAAUUAGAGCUGAAACUUGAAUGGCCAGAAGGCUUGAAUCUACUCUCUUUAGCCCUGUAGAGGGCACCUCCCAAGACUGUGCUGUGUGCUGCUAGAAAGUAAAAUGGUGCCCAACGCAUGGAGAUAGCCAAGCAUGAGAGGGGCAGGAGGUCCCUGCAAGACACCUGGGAGUUGGACUAGUUCCUUAGGAGGUAGUGAUGGUUCUCUGAAGGUGGACAUAUUUGUCUCAGGGUUUUCUAUUUCGCUUGGCUAUUGUUCUUUGUCCCUGGAGGCUAUGACAGAGCCAAGACACCAGACCAUUCAGGCACAUUCUCUUGUAAGCUCCACACCACACCAAAUAAGAAACACGUUAAAAAACUGAAGAACCUUCAAAUGGGGAGGAGGGAGACGCCCUUCUAUCAAGAAAUAGAUAGGUAAGGAGUUCCCAUCAUGGCUUAGUGGAAACAAAUCUGACUAGCAUCCAUGACGAUGCAGGCUCAAACCCUGGCCUCGCUCAGUGGGUUAAGGAUCUGGUAUUGCCGUGGGUUGUGGUGUA
ensembl:lncRNA